ensembl:lncRNA
UCAGAGUGACAUUGGACAUAUUUUAAAUCUAAUAGAUUUUUUCCCUUAAAUUUUUUUUAAACCAAUAAGAUUCCUUGAAAUUGGAUGACAUGUGAUGUCCAAAGUAUUUGUAGACAAAAAUAGGAUUUGGGUCAUUUUGACUGUACUGAUAUUUUUUGUUUUACAUAUACUGCUGAUAACUUUGUGUGUGCGUGUGUGUGUGUAUAAAAUACAGCUCCAUCCAGCAGAAGAGAUCACACUCUCCUGUACCGAGCUGUGUGUCCAUGAAGAGUGACCAGUCCAUGGAACUUCCACUUCACUUUGCAGAAGGACGUGUUCCGGCUGGUCAGAGGUGAGUAGUAAUGAGGACUUUCCACAGGAAAUACAAUCAUCCAUACAGUCAUUUGAAGUACACCUGAAGUAUAAAAGUGUUUUACUUGUUUUUUUGUUCUAGAUAUUUAUAUGAGAUGGGCAGUUCUAAAUAUUUUUUUUAAAUCUAGUAUCUAGAUAGUAUCUAUUAAAGGAGACGGAUGACAUUCAUUCAUUGACUAUGUUAACUUUCACAUUGUUACAAGCAGCUAACUCCCCCUAAGGGUGAAAUCCUAGCA